AACCCCUGGGCGGAGUGAAAGCGAAAGCGCGUUUGACGCGCCGAGGUGAGAGCAGCGCCCCCGACGGUGCUGCGCAUCAUCGACCGAUCCUCCCCGCCACGUGGUGGCGGUGGGAUUUGAGUGAGAGUGUGCCCGUUGCGACCCGAAAGAUGGUGAACUAUGCCCGAGCAGGGCGAAGCCAGGGGAAACCCUGGUGGAAGCCCGCAGCGAUUCUGACGUGCAAAUCGAUCGUCCGACUUGGGUAUAGGGGCGAAAGACUAAUCGAACCAUCUAGUAGCUGGUUCCCUCCGAAGUUUCCCUCAGGAUAGCUGGAGCCCGCGAUUGUGCAGUUUUAUCGGGUAAAGCGAAUGAUUAGAGGUCUUGGGGCUGAAACAGCCUCAACCUAUUCUCAAACUUUAAAUCGGUAAGACGUCCGACUUGCUUGAGUGAAGCCGGACCUCGAAUGCAGGGUUCCUAGUGGGCCAUUUUUGGUAAGCAGAACUGGCGAUGCGGGAUGAACCGAAAGCGGGGUUAAGGUGCCCAAGUCGACGCUCAUCAGACCCCACAAA
rnacentral:rRNA from 1 species